GACCCAUGGGGAGCUUCCCUUCGAAAACUGCGGCAUUGACAGCCAGAAGAGCACUCUAGAAGGCAGAUACUUGCAGCAGGCAAGUUAAGAAAACAAGCUCUGUGUUUGAACCCCUGGCAGGCCGCAUGUUCUGAGGAUGACAUGGGACAAGUAAGGACAGGUGACCUUCAGAAUGAAGGUGAAGUUUUCAAUGCAAAAACCUACUAAGAAGUAAAUGAUUUGUUCAAGAUUUUCUUCUUAUUUCAUGUACCAAUGGCUGCGCAACACCUUGUUUUCAUCAAAUGAAGACACACACUCAAUGCAAUUUGGCCAGAACCAGCAGGAGAGGCUCUGGAAACCAGGUGUGAGCAGCAGGAGGGGCUGUCUCAAGUAAGCUCCAUGAUCGCACUGGCAGAGCUGAGCCUGGAAUGCUCCCGUUCUGACGUGCCUUGGGUUUUCACUGCUUUUUAAAAACAAUUCUUACAUUUUCCUUGCCUUGUUGCAUAUCCUAAAGUUGCCUGUAAAAUUUUGGGUAGAAGUGUUGAGAGUGGGCAUUUUUUUUCUUGUUUACUAUUUUAAGUGAAAAUACUUGAUAUUUUUACUUUUGUAGUUGUAGACUAUUUUAGAUAUGCUUUAUCACAUUGAAGAAGUUCUGUUUCUAGUUGUAAAGAGUGAUAAAUUUAAAUUUUUUUCCAAUGUCUAUUGAAAUAAUUAUACGGCUUAUUUAAUAUGGUGGUAUACAUUGAUAGAG
rnacentral:lncRNA from 1 species